rnacentral:lncRNA from 1 species
UCAAUUCAGUCAGCAUUAGGGUUUUAAACCCUAAUCUGAGCUUUUCCAUGCAAUCAGCAUUAGGGUUUUAAACCCUAAACUGAAUUUUUCCUUUAGUCAGCAUUAGGGUUUUAAACCCUAAACUGAACUUUUUUCCAUUCAGCCAGCAUUAGGGUUUUAAACCCUAAACUGAGCUUUUUCAUGCAAUCAGCAUUAGGGUUUUAAACCUUAAACUGAACUUUUUUCAAUUCAGUCAGCAUUAGGGUUUUAAACCCUAAUCUGAGCUUUUUCAUGCAAUCAGCAUUAGGGUUUUAAACCCUAAACUGAAUUUUCCCUUUAGUCAGCAUUAGGGUUUUAAACCCUAAACUAAACUUUUUUCCAUUCAGCCAGCAUUAGGGUUUUAAACCCUAAACUGAGCUUUUCCAUGCAAUCAGCAUUAGGGUUUUAAACCCAAACUGAAUUUUUCCUUUAGUCAGCAUUAGGGUUUUAAACCCUAAACUGAACUUUUUUCCAUUCAGCCAGCAUUAGGGUUUUAAACCCUAAACUGAGCUUUUCCAUGCAAUCAGCAUUAAGGUUUUAAACCCUAAACUGAAUUCUUCCUUUGUUCA